rnacentral:rRNA from 1 species
CGUUAAGUUGCAGGGUAUAGACCCGAAACCCGGUGAUCUAGCCAUGGGCAGGUUGAAGGUUGGGUAACACUAACUGGAGGACCGAACCGACUAAUGUUGAAAAAUUAGCGGAUGACUUGUGGCUGGGGGUGAAAGGCCAAUCAAACCGGGAGAUAGCUGGUUCUCCCCGAAAGCUAUUUAGGUAGCGCCUCGUGAAUUCAUCUCCGGGGGUAGAGCACUGUUUCGGCAAGGGGGUCAUCCCGACUUACCAACCCGAUGCAAACUGCGAAUACCGGAGAAUGUUAUCACGGGAGACACACGGCGGGUGCUAACGUCCGUCGUGAAGAGGGAAACAACCCAGACCGCCAGCUAAGGUCCCAAAGUCAUGGUUAAGUGGGAAACGAUGUGGGAAGGCCCAGACAGCCAGGAUGUUGGCUUAGAAGCAGCCAUCAUUUAAAGAAAGCGUAAUAGCUCACUGGUCGAGUCGGCCUGCGCGGAAGAUGUAACGGGGCUAAACCAUGCACCGAAGCUGCGGCAGCGACGCUGAUGCGUUGUUGGGUAGGGGAGCGUUCUGUAAGCCUGCGAAGGUGUGCUGUGAGGCAUGCUGGAGGUAUCAGAAGUGCGAAUGCUGACAUAAGUAACGAUAAAGCGGGUGAAAAGCCCGCUCGCCGGAAGACCAAGGGUUCCUGUCCAACGUUAAUCGGGGCAGGGUGAGUCGACCCCUAAGGCGAGGCCGAAAGGCGUAGUCGAUGGGAAACAGGUUAAUAUUCCUGUACUUGGUGUUACUGCGAAGGGGGGACGGAGAAGGCUAUGUUGGCCGGGCGACGGUUGUCCCGGUUUAAGCGUGUAGGCUGGUUUUCCAGGCAAAUCCGGAAAAUCAAGGCUGAGGCGUGAUGACGAGGCACUGCGGUGCUGAAGCAACAAAUGCCCUGCUUCCAGGAAAAGCCUCUAAGCAUCAGGUAACAUCAAAUCGUACCCCAAACCGACACAGGUGGUCAGGUAGAGAAUACCAAGGCGCUUGAGAGAACUCGGGUGAAGGAACUAGGCAAAAUGGUGCCGUAACUUCGGGAGAAGGCACGCUGAUAUGUAGGUGAAGUCCUUCGCGGAUGGAGCUGAAAUCAGUCGAAGAUACCAGCUGGCUGCAACUGUUUAUUAAAAACACAGCACUGUGCAAACACGAAAGUGGACGUAUACGGUGUGACGCCUGCCCGGUGCCGGAAGGUUAAUUGAUGGGGUUAGCGCAAGCGAAGCUCUUGAUCGAAGCCCCGGUAAACGGCGGCCGUAACUAUAACGGUCCUAAGGUAGCGAAAUUCCUUGUCGGGUAAGUUCCGACCUGCACGAAUGGCGUAAUGAUGGCCAGGCUGUCUCCACCCGAGACUCAGUGAAAUUGAACUCGCUGUGAAGAUGCAGUGUACCCGCGGCAAGACGGAAAGACCCCGUGAACCUUUACUAUAGCUUGACACUGAACAUUGAGCCUUGAUGUGUAGGAUAGGUGGGAGGCUUUGAAGUGUGGACGCCAGUCUGCAUGGAGCCGACCUUGAAAUACCACCCUUUAAUGUUUGAUGUUCUAACGUUGACCCGUAAUCCGGGUUGCGGACAGUGUCUGGUGGGUAGUUUGACUGGGGCGGUCUCCUCCUAAAGAGUAACGGAGGAGCACGAAGGUUGGCUAAUCCUGGUCGGACAUCAGGAGGUUAGUGCAAUGGCAUAAGCCAGCUUGACUGCGAGCGUGACGGCGCGAGCAGGUGCGAAAGCAGGUCAUAGUGAUCCGGUGGUUCUGAAUGGAAGGGCCAUCGCUCAACGGAUAAAAGGUACUCCGGGGAUAACAGGCUGAUACCGCCCAAGAGUUCAUAUCGACGGCGGUGUUUGGCACCUCGAUGUCGGCUCAUCACAUCCUGGGGCUGAAGUAGGUCCCAAGGGUAUGGCUGUUCGCCAUUUAAAGUGGUACGCGAGCUGGGUUUAGAACGUCGUGAGACAGUUCGGUCCCUAUCUGCCGUGGGCGCUGGAGAACUGAGGGGGGCUGCUCCUAGUACGAGAGGACCGGAGUGGACGCAUCACUGGUGUUCGGGUUGUCAUGCCAAUGGCACUGCCCGGUAGCUAAAUGCGGAAGAGAUAAGUGCUGAAAGCAUCUAAGCACGAAACUUGCC